AGGCCCUGCCGCCUCCGUUCCAUGGGUAAAGGCCGCAGACGGGAGGAGAGGCCUGUCGUGGGAAAUGCGGCUCUGUGGCGACGCGCACGGUGAUAGGAAGAAUCUUGGGUUUCAGGGGGACGCCCCGCUAACCCCUCAAAUCUGGACGGCGCGGCGGUGUUUACGAGGCACUUUCACUCGUUGCGCACAUGUUUACUGAGUGCAGACCCGUGCCAGGCCCCGUGCUGGGCAGGGGAAAGGAGGAUGGAGAUGCGACCAGGCUGCCUAGUGGGGAGACGGAUGAGGAAAAGGGCCAUGACGGACUGCACCUAAGAGAGCGUGACACUUCACAGGCUAACUCUGGACCCUUUGGAGUAUUCCUGGCCGGCUUGGUGGCCUUGCAGGGAUUGGCAAGCCCACGUUAAAGAGAAGAAAGUCAUGGCUCUGGAGGGCAAUGUGACACAUUUUUUUUUGUUUGUUUUGCCUGUAGGCAAUAAAAAUUAAAGCAUCAUUUUGCCUCCCUGCCUUGUAUUGAGGAGAAACUGAGGCCAGAGAGAAGAAGGCACCUGGCCAACAUCACGCAAUGAAUCUGAGGCAGACCCAGGACUGACACCCGGACCUGCUGA
rnacentral:lncRNA from 1 species